UCAAGCGUUGUUCGGAUUCAUUGGGCGUAAAGGGUGCGUAGGCGGCGCGGUAAGUCAGUGGUGAAAUAUGGCAGCUUAACUGUCAGGGUGCCAUUGAUACUGCGGAGCUUGAGUACAGAUGAGGUAGGCGGAAUUGACGGUGUAGCGGUGAAAUGCUUAGAUAUCGUCAAGAACACCUAUAGCGAAGGCAGCUUACUAGGCUGUAACUGACGCUGAGGCACGAAAGUGUGGGGAUCAAACAGG
rnacentral:rRNA from 1 species